UUUUGACAAAAGAUAAGAAAUGACAUAGAGCGUGUAUAACAAGUUAUAUGUCCCUCUAAUAUCUGUCCACUCCAGAGUUCCGGGGGACGCGCUUUGAGGAUGACAGGUAUUGAGCUCAAGUAUGGAUCUGAUUUGAGAACUGAUAAAAGACUGACAAAGUGCUGGAUGUGCCUAACGACUGCAGGACAAGUCAUUCAAAGAACGACAGAGUUGGACUGCACUAUCUGUCAACUUAUUGAAUGCAGAUGAGCAUCCACAUUCCUGCUGCGUUUUGGUCGUCCAUUCCAGACGACAACCGUGACACAUCCAUAGAUGCUACUACUACUACUGCUGUAGACAAAGAUGCCAACAUGUGUCUACUACAUGAAGUUGAAACAGCGGACCUUGGAGUGCCUAGAGAGCCCCAGGUAGGCAGAAUCUCAGCAGAAAGCUGUCAGACAGACUCUGAUGCAGAGGAGAACAUGGAGGAGGAAGAGGAGUUAAAGAGUAGCAGCAGUGCCAGUGAAGGAGUAACAGAAGAGAUUGAACAAGCAAGGAAUAAGGGAAAGGAAGAGUAUGGACAGAUUCGAAGUGAGGAAGAUGAGGUUUUAGAUGAUCCAGCACUGUGGCCACAAAAAGUACAAGACCAUGAAAGAGAAGCUAUCGUUCGCAGACUAGCCAACAGGUGUGGUGAGGAGACAGAACUGUAUAAAAUCAUGCCCCCAGACUCAGAAGGCAAGCCAUUCCCCAACUAUUUACGGUACAGUAAGUCACCAAACAGAAGAGAAAAGGUGCAGAGGGACUGGCUUAUUUAUAGUUGAGUGUGAAGGCAUUAUAUUGCAUUCCAUUUGUUCUUUUUUCUCAUGAGCAAAGUUUACCAUCACCCAGUUCUCUAAAUAGUAAGGAUGGCUAUAAGAUGUCAUCACUGAAAAGGCGGAGAAUGUAUGACAAUCCACCAGAGCACGAAUAUGGUGUGUCUCACAAGAACUGUUCCUGGAAAUGGAAAAAUCUGCAGCUACA
rnacentral:lncRNA from 1 species